AUUGAACGCUGGCGGCAUGCCUUACACAUGCAAGUCGAACGGUAACGGGCCUUCGGGUGCCGACGAGUGGCGAACGGGUGAGUAAUGCAUCGGAACGUACCUUUCAGUGGGGGAUAACGUAGCGAAAGUUACGCUAAUACCGCAUAUUCUGUGAGCAGGAAAGCAGGGGAUCGCAAGACCUUGCGCUGAUUGAGCGGCCGAUGUCAGAUUAGCUAGUUGGUGAGGUAAAGGCUCACCAAGGCGACGAUCUGUAGCGGGUCUGAGAGGAUGAUCCGCCACACUGGAACUGAGACACGGUCCAGACUCCUACGGGAGGCAGCAGUGGGGAAUUUUGGACAAUGGGGGCAACCCUGAUCCAGCCAUGCCGCGUGAGUGAAGAAGGCCUCGGUUGUAAGACGU
rnacentral:rRNA from 1 species